CAGUCGCCACGGGAAUACAGAGGGUGCAAGCGUUAAUCGGAAUUACUGGGCGUAAAGCGCGCGUAGGUGGUUCGCCAAGUUGGAUGUGAAAUCCCCGGGCUCAACCUGGGAACUGCAUCCAAAACUGGCGAGCUAGAGUAUGGUAGAGGGUGGUAGAAUUCCAGGUGUAGCGGUGAAAUGCGUAGAGAUCUGGAGGAAUACCGAUGGCGAAGGCAGCCAUCUGGCCUAAUACUGACGCUGAGGUACGAAAGCAUGGGGAGCAAACAGGAUUAGAUACCCGAGUAGUCCUGUCUCUUAUACA
rnacentral:rRNA from 1 species